UGGGGAAUCUUCCGCAAUGGACGAAAGUCUGACGGAGCAACGCCGCGUGAGUGAUGACGGCCUUCGGGUUGUAAAGCCCUGUUAAUCGGGACGAAAGGUCCUCUUGCGAAUAGUUUAGAGGAAUUGACGGUACCGGAAUAGAAAGCCACGGCUAACUACGUGCCAGCAGCCGCGGUAAUACGUAGGUGGCAAGCGUUGUCCGGAAUUAUUGGGCGUAAAGCGCGCGCAGGCGGAUCAGUCAGUCUGUCUUAAAAGUUCGGGGCUUAACCCCGUGAUGGGAUGGAAACUGCUGAUCUAGAGUAUCGGAGAGGAAAGUGGAAUUCCUAGUGUAGCGGUGAAAUGCGUAGAUAUUAGGAAGAACACCAGUGGCGAAGGCGACUUUCUGGACGAAAACUGACGCUGAGGCGCGAAAGCCAGGGGAGCGAACGGGAUUAGAUACCCCGGUAGUCCUGGCCGUAAACGAUGGGUACUAGGUGUAGGAGGUAUCGACCCCUUCUGUGCCGGAGUUAACGCAAUAAGUACCCCGCCUGGGGAGUACGACCGCAAGGUUGA
rnacentral:rRNA from 1 species